UCGAUAAGAUUACCGCCCUAGUUCUAACCCUAAACGAUGCCAACCAUCAAUCCGCGCGUAGCACCCUUCUUAACGGGCUCGGCGGGCAGCUCCUCACUCACGGGAAACCAGAGUCUCUGGGUUCCGGGGGGAGUCUGGUUGCAAAGCUGAAACUUAAAGGAAUUGACGGAAAGGCACCACCAGGCGUGGAGCCUGCGGCUUAAUUUGACUCAACACGGGCCAUCUCACCAGGCCAGCACUCUUGUACGAUUGACAGAUUGAGAGCUCUUUCUCGAUUUAGUGGAUGGUGGUGCAUGGCCGUUCUUAGUUGGUGGAGUGAUCUGUCUGGUUAAUUCCGAUAACGAACGAGACAUAAUUCCGAUAACGAACGAGACUCUCCCCUGCUAAAUAGUCGGUUGGAUCUUGAUAUUUGUAUCGGUUGAGUCGUGUACCGAGACUACCGGUCGUGUUGUGCGCGCACUGCGCUUUCUUGUUGGGGUUCUGUGGUGGAGAUUUUGUGUGGUUAGCUUGCAUAUGUGUGUGUGUUUCGGCACGUGCGUGUGUGUUCGCGCCCGCUUUCUUUGCUGCUCCUCGAUGGGGGCCAGUGUCGUGUGUGAUCUUCUGGCCUCGGACCACACACUCCAAGUCCGCCGCUUAUGCUUAAAACUCUUCUUAGAGGGAUUCACGGUACUGAAGCCGUAAGAGACUGAGAGCAAUAACAGGUCUGUGAUGCCCUUAGAUGUUCUGGGCCGCACGCGCGCUACAAUGCCGGGCACAGCAGGUGUUCUUCCUACUCCGACAGGAGCGGGUAACCCUGUGAAAGCCCUUUCUUAUGGUUUCAAGUUGUGUGGCAUGUGGCUCACGUCGCAUGUCCGCAACGUAUGGCGUGAUUGGGCCUGGGUCUUGCAAUUCUUUCCCACAAACGAGGAAUGCCUUGUAGCGGCGGGUCACUGAGCCCGCCGUGACUCAGUCCCUGCCCUUUGUAUCA
rnacentral:rRNA from 1 species